UACAGAGGGGCAAGCGUUGUUCGGAAUUAUUGGGCGUAAAGCGCGCGUAGGUGGCCUCAUAAGUCCGCUGUGAAAGUCAAAGGCUCAACCUUUGAAGCCGGUGGAUACUGUGAGGCUAGAGUACGGAAGAGGCGAGUGAAUUCCUGGUGUAGCGUGGAAUGCGCAGAUAUCAGAGAACACAUAGCGAGCAGCUCGCUGGACGUUACUGACACUGAGCGCGAAGCGUGGGAGC
rnacentral:rRNA from 1 species